GAGAUAUCAGAAGACUGAAGGAGUUGUGAUGGAUGUACUGUAUGAGAAAAUGGAAGUGCUGGAAAUAAACUUGGGGAAAUCAUAAAAUCGUAGGAGGUGGUUAGAUGAGUUCAUUGCUUUCCUCAGUGCAUGAAUUUCUAUGGCCAGUCACAGGAAAAGGCUUUCCUUAGGAACAUUUCUGCUGUGCAAGUUUCCCCUGUCAGUGCUCCAAGCCCAACUGUGACCACAUUGCUGCAGCUGGCGCUGGGCUGGAUAUGAUCACCCCAAAACUUCAGAGAAACAGAGUCCAUUUAGAGGGGGCUUUCAGCUGCAGUUACAGUGCUGAGGAAAUGCCUGCUUCUUAAAGACGUACAGCAUAAAUAUCCAACAGAAAGCUGAGAAGAGUGUCAUGAAAACAUUCAAGAAGUAAUUUGAAAUGAAGAAUCCCUGACUGUCUCAUCACAAGUUCAUCUGCCACAGGAAGGCUAACCUUUGAAGAAACAUUUAUCAGAGUGAGCUAUUUGAUCAGGUGUAGCUCGGAGGUGGAUUUCCUUUCAGUGGUAUGUAGCUCCAAGCCAGCGCCCUGAUUGCUGUUACUCACACUGCAAUAUUGGACUCUGUGCCCUCCUUCUCUUCCUAAAAGGGCUACUCCUAGUCCUCAUGAGACAGUGCAGUCUGGGAAGGCGACUGAGAAAUAAAAGAUCCUCUGCUAAUCCCAAAAGAAAACAAACACUGCAGGUAUUUCAUGUGACAACAGUGAACUAUUUUUAUCCUUGCAGAUGGCUGUGAUGGCCCCCUUUAAGUACUGGAAGGAUGCUGUAAGGUGACUGGGGACUUCUCCAGGCUGAACUACCCCAGCUCUCUAAGCCUUUCAGUAUAGACAGCCUGUCUCUGUUUUCUCAGAAUUUUCCUCCUGGAUAUACAGCCUUCAAGCAAGUUAUCCUCUUUUCAGUUUCUGGAAGUGGUCUCAGGUACACAAGGCCAGCUUCCUCAUACUAUCAUAGAAUCAUAGAAUCACCAAGGUUGGAAAAGACCCACAGGAUCACCCAGUCCAACCAUAUCCUCGUGGGACAAGUGCUCCUUACCUCUGCCAUCUCAGUGGCCUCUGCUGAUGCAACUCCAGUUUGUCAAUGUCUCAAUUAAAAAUAAGUAGUGUAUUGUAGAAUCUGUAAGAAUCUCAAUAUGACUGAAGCACUCAGAAUAUGAGAAAUACUGAAUCAGAUAAUUUUUGAUGCGAGUAGCUUUUUUUUAUUUGCAUCUGGAAUACUAUAAAUGAUGUAUUGUAGAAAACAGACACAAAAUAUGAACUUCAAGGAACUCAUUUUUCAAACCUUCUGGAUUAUAAUUUAUCCAAAUGAAUUGAAGUCAAUAUACUUUGAAUUUUCUUAUUCCUACUCUUAUUUUUACUUUUGUAUCCUGUCAAAUAUGCUUCAGCCCAAAAACAAAGGGGUUCAUGUACUACUAGACCUUGAUGAAUAUGGUCUUUUCCCAUGGCAAAGUAUUACAUAAGGAUUUAAAAAGAACAGCUAAGCAUGUAGAAUAUUCAUUACAGUUGACUGUGAAAUUCCCUAAUGUGCACAAAAAAACCUGCUACCUACCCAAUUCAGUUAAAUCACCCUACAUUUUGUAGAAGAUAUCAAAAAAAAAAAAUCUAACCAAUUUCAUAAAAAGAAUAAUAGCAAGAAAAAAAAAUAGCAUUAGCCCAUGCUACUGACAUUCAUCAUUUUAACCAAGUUAGAAGCAGAAGAGAAAAUUCAGUGAAUUACCAUAAAGAAUUAUAAGUAGAGAAAGAUUUUUUAUGGUAAUGUGUGAGCAACAUGUUGUGUAUUUCAAUCUUUUCCCUACAGGCAUUUUUGGAGUUUUUUUGGUCAAUGAUAACAAAAUAGUUCACCAAUUACCAGGUCAAUCCCAAAAUUUAAAAAAAAAAAAAAUGGUAUUGAUAUUUAGCUCUGUCUUUAUGUUAUGGGAAAAGAUAUGGAAAUUGCAUAUCUUUGGUACAUUUCCAAUGCUCUAAAAAAAAAAAAAAAAAAAAAUGUUAUCUAAUGCUCAGUAAUGUGGAACCCUGCUCUCUCUUCCUCUCCCUGCUUGCUCACAUAUGCCACAACUUGUUCCUACCUUUGUGACUAAAACCGAAGAAGUGUACUUAUAGAUGCAUUCUGCCACUUUCAUUCUCGGAAUUCCCUUGCAGGAAUAUUGUCCUUUCUGUCCAAGUGAAACUGAGGCCUUACAAGCACCAUAAAAUGUUUUCCAUGCCACAGUUUAAUUUGAUUUCAAGACUGUCAUUUCUGAUAGAAGGAACAAGAUAGAACAUUUCUAGUAGUUUAAUGAGGGGGAACACUACCUUUCCUUCUUAAAGUUUUAGUCAAAAAUCACCUCUAACUCCUGCUACAAUAUUUAUUUUUAUAUUUUUUGUUUGAAAAGCUUUUACAAGGUAAGAAAAAUCUACACAAUUCAGAAGUCCUUUACUUUUGCCAGUCUGCUUACAGGUUAAAGCAUUACACAGAAACCUCACAAUUGAACUUGAUAAUCUUUUCAAAUGAUACACUAAAACCAUCACCCAGUUUCAUUAGGUAGUGCACACGCUGAGUUCUUGACUCACCUACUGCCUGCAGCAGCUGUUGCCCAGUGACUGAAUUAGUUACUGGGAGAAUAAAGACACCUGGGACAAAGGCACUUCCUUUUCCAUUCUGAGGUUCCUCACUGUGGUGCCAUGGCAAGGCUAGUGCAAGGUUAUUUUGAUUCUGAAUCUGGCAAUUGCAUUAGUCCCUACACAAAAGAGACAAAGAGCUGAGAGCAUAGUACUUAUGAGUGACAGCAAGUGUAAUGAUCAGUGUAAAAGCUAUUCUCCUUAUUUCACUCUUAAAACUUCAUCGUUUGUCCACACUUUUCUUAAAAGUGUAUGUUUUCUUGAGUAAUUGACACACUGUUGGAAAGUUUUUCAAGAUCGAGUGAACUAAACCAACUAAAAUGAAUCCUAUCCUAUGAAGGUUUCACUAAGAUUGCAAGAAUACUCAUGUUCUGAAAAUUAUCAGAAGUUAAAAAGGAAACCAAUCCUAGUUUAUACAAAUUAAUACCAUUUUAAAGCCUAUGUUCAAGACUAAGGCCACAGUGACAACAGAUGUGUCAAAUUUUCAGCUGAUUUUAAUCAGUAAAAUUCUCUGGGUUCCAAUAGAGUUUUUCUGAUUAAAAGCAGCUGAGAAUUUGGACCAAUUAUUUACAAAUAAAUUAUUCAUGAAAUAAUGGGGGAAAUUGCAAAUAAAUAAUGUUACUGAUAUGGCCUGGACACUAUUUUUACAAAAACAGAAUUUGAUAAUUAAUUGACAAAAAAAAAAUCAGUUGUCAUUACUAUUCAUCCCAUGUAAAAAGAACUUGGUAUACUGUAAUAACGUGAUAACAGUGACUGCAGAAUUGUUUAUUGGAUAAUUGCAAGCUAUAGGAGUGGAAAGCAUGUGUAUAGCUUACUCUGAGAUAGAAGCUCUUUUGUUAAUUAUAUUGCUAUUACAAGUCUACUAAUCACGCUAAUAUGAAACAAAGAUCAGUUUGACUCCAAAUAUCCAAAUAAAGUAUUUCAGAGUAGAUUAUGGAACAAAUCUUGACAAAUCUUGCAAGUGGCGGAACCGAUUUGAACAUGUGCCUCUGAAAAACAUCACUUGUUUAUACCUGAGAAUAGUGAGAGAAAAUAGAGAGGAAUCACAGUAUUGGAUACAUAAGCUAUUACUGGGUUCCAAAAACAACGCAGUACGCUAUUCCUAACAUCAGGCUCAGCAUCAACAGAGGAAACAAGCUGGAAAUUUGAAAUUAGUUAAACUUGCCAUGUUUCAACUGCAUCCUGGAUAUGUCUCAAGUAAGUAUAAACAAAUUUAAAUAUACUGAAUAAACAUCUGGACCAUUAAUAUUGUCAUAUAUAAUCAAAUGAGAAAACCAUUGCUUAGACUCAGUUAACUUUCCCAGGUACUAGGAACACUAGAAAAAACAGUCUUAAUUGUGCAAGCCAACAUAUGUCAAGCAUUACCAUAUUACCAAAUUAUUUAACAUAGCAAUUAAAAAUUCUCCCAGAGAAAAUCACUAUUAAAAGCAAGGAGUUCAGUUCCCGUAGCUAUCUGUGCUUGGUAUUUAUUUUUUUAGAUUUCAUUAGUUUCUGAAUGCAUCAACAACUUUACUACUGUGGAAGACUCACAGAGCUUUAGGCCCUGAAGUUUGUUUUCAGUUCAAUAUUCAGCCAAAAUAGACAAAUUGAAGUCUCAUAUCUUCUGCUAAUGUAGUAAUAGGGGUAGCUGAGACCCAGCAUCAGCAGAAUCCAACAUUUUUCAUAAAUUCUUCAUAUCUGACAGUACUGAAUGUUUUUACUUGGUACAUCACUAUUCCCCUUCCCUUUGCUCUCUUCCAUUCCAUGUCUGUCAUCUUUUUCUCAUUGUAUGCCAUAGACCAGCACAAGUCAGACUGUAACUACUAUCUUGUGUUACAUGCCAACAAGGCUCCCAUUUGCUUGGAAACCAUAGUUCUAGGAGAAAACAGUUUGGGAAAAAAAGACUUGCAUCUUCCUUCCAUUGCUGGCCUAUGUUUAUAACAUCCUUCUAUCACUCUCAGUAAAACUGUAAAAAAAUUUUCUGUCAAGAAAACCAAACUAGAGGCAUUAUCUUUCCUGGUUAAGCUGAUAAAUUCUUUCCUGUCCUCAAUAGUCUUCAAAAGUCUGCACCAACACAGUGAGGUGUUAGUGCAAGUCUUGGGCUCAUGUCUCAUGGACAAGUUUGAAAAGAGGGCAAGUAAUUUUGUUCAAAAUUAUUGCUCGUAUUUCUUCUGUUUGGAUUACAAUUGUGCAGGGAUUUCUCUUUAAAUUGCAGGAAGGAUACUUGACAUUUUUUGUGAAAGGGAAAACAUUGCUCUGUCAGUUCUUUCUUUCUCCUUCACUUCUAUUAUAUGUAUAUAUGUGAGCGCAAAAUGUAGUCAACUAAUCCUGACUACAAAAAUGUUGAAGUGUAACUACUCUUUUUUGUAUUCUGUCAAAUACUGAAUGCUAAAACUGUGGUUGUUUGGGGACCAGAGCAUCAUCCUUUGUGUUUUAUAGCAACCCACAUAAUAGAAAACGUGAGCGUAACUGCUUCCAUUUCAGCAGAAUUACAUUUUGUCUUCAGUGGUGCAAAUAGCAUUGCAGUCCAGGGUAGGAUUAGAAAGGUGCUUAUCCACUGAAUGCGCUUUCUGUUGCUUUGGCAUUAUGUAAUUCUAAGUCUCUCACAAAUCACUUUCAGUUAAGUAGGGGGAAAAAUAUGCAUCACUGUAUUUCUGUCCUUGCUCAAAUUGGCUGCAGUGCAAAUCAGAGGAACCAACUGCAGAAAGAUACACUAAAUGUAAAGACAAAAUGGAAUCUAAAAAAGAGCACAAGCAUAAUUUGAAGACUGCUAGGUUAAAAAACAGAAUGAUAAAAUCCUAAUAAGCUCUCAGACACCUAGUAGUCCACAGGGCUUGAGUUUUCCCCAGAAAACUUGUGAAGGCUAAUUUCUCUGCAGAUACGGAACUGCCAUCUUGAAGUAAAAUCUGGUAAGGAUAGAAUAACAGCGUCUAUCGAAUACACGCACUGUCAGUUUUAUUUACGAAUGUGCGUGGAAGAGAUAACAAUGCCCACUUGUGGUAUCCGAGUUCAGAAGGCUGACUGUCCUCAGUGGGGUAUGCAGAUCGCUGGGAGUCCAUAGAAGUCAGGAAGAGAAAAGAGAGAAAAAAGAAGAAAAAAAGAAUUCUAUACCUCUUGCUGAAUCUAGCAUUUACGUAUAGAAGGACGACAGAUUUCAAGGUAAGGGAGAGGCAAGAGUAAAGCUCUGCAAGUGUGCCUGGCUUCCUAAUGUAGCGAUGUGGAGCUGAAGGGGGAUUUCAGGGUAUUGCUCUCUGCAAACGUGCUCAUGCCUUUUCUUUUCAUUUUAAAGGUAAUUAUAUAAAAUUUUGCUGAAAUAUAACACUCCCAGUAAAGUCUUUUAAAUAUGAGUGUGUGUGUGUGUUCACUCUACUGCCCAGAGUUAAAACUGACAAAUCUGGGGCCUCUGUAAGGAAAAGCGUUUCUCUGCCACAUUCUGUAUAUAGCCAGCAGCUCCUGAGCCACAGCUCUUUCCUUCCAAAGACCAAAUAUGAUUUUACCAGGGAGACUGUGUUGUGUUUUCUCAGCUGUAUUGCUUAUUUCACACAUUUUUUUUAUUGCUAAUUCUGCCCAACUGAGGGAGCAGAGAGUCUAGCUUGUGGCCUUUCUCAGAGUGCUCCAACAAAUCAAACUGCUAUGACCACUGCUGAAAAAAGAGGUCUUAGGUGGUCAAGAAACUGUGAUGACAGAGAACCAAACAUAAGAUUCAUGUCUUUUUAGUUUGGACUGGAAGUGACAUUAGAGAGCUGUUCCCAGGGCUUGCAAAGAAAGCUACUCAUGCAGAAAGGUUGUGUUUAUGUUCAGUGCGGUCAAAAUCUUUAAGACAGCUAACUUUAUGCCUCCAGAGUUGUCUACAAAAACAAAUCUGUAUUCUUUUAGCAUGACUUACACUUUAAAAAUAUCUAUUGUAAUGUGCUUCUCUUUUUCAAGACAUGAUAUCAUAGUAUGGUUGUUAUCACUACAAAGUUUAGCACAGGAUAGUGUUUGAGAGGAACCAACAUGGCCUUGCAUUCAGAAAAAGGGAACUCUGAGGCUCAUAAGAUUUCUGAUAUCAUACAGGCAUAUAUCUGCGUUCUCUAUAUUUUCAAUGCAAAUUAUAUUCUCAUUACUUUUUAAUGGAAGUUUUCCAAUAAGCUUGAUUUGUUUUUUUUUUAACUUAUGUUGUCAUGCUCAAUCUCUGCAUGGUAUUUCUUCAUUUGUGAGCAAUUCAUACACAAUAUUCCUCAGGUCUUUUUUUAGGUAUCCAAAUGAUGAAAAGCUGAGCCCCUCUGUGGGAAGUUGAAAUGAUACUCUCAAGGUCAUUUCAUCCAAAUGACAAUCUUCUUUUUACUCUCCUAAGCUGGCUGCAAAUGCAUUACACAUGUUAGUCAUAAAGUCAAACCCACUGUUUACACGAGAAAGUAGAAGUUGGGGUAAUGCUGUUUUGCACCUGUUGUUAUUCUUGUCCAGUAAGAAAAACUAUGUGUGAAAUACAUUGCUGUGUUUUCCUAAUGAUUUGCAGAAGAGUAAGAGCUUUGCUUAACAAUGGCUGUUUUUUUUCUUCUAAGCAAGGCUUCUGACAUCAUCCUAAAGCAUCUACAGGCAUAAAUUUUUAAGAACAUAAAAAGUUUAUGAGGAUGUGGAAUCACGGAGAAAGAGUCCGGAACUUUUGUGAAAACAGCAAAAGAAAAAUGUAAAAAGCUAAGCUACAGCACAUACCAGAGGCUGAAGGCUGACUAACAUAAAUCCCAUACAUAUGUAGUAGGAAGUAAUACCAAGAGGAAACUGGAAGGCCUAAUUAAAUGAAGCUCAUACCUGAUGAAUGUUCCUGAUGGCACUGGAAUAAUGCAGCAGAAAUGAAGCAGUACACAACAUGGAUCUUGAUUUUAGAAAGGCUUCCUAUACUGUACAAACAAGUCAAAUUCCAUAAUCUAGCUGCUGAGGUAAUAGUGUGCAGCCGCCAACAGCAGACUGCUAAUUAUUAUUUUUUUAAUUUACCUGGUUGGAAUAAGGUAAAAAUCCAGAAAGGUAUAAAGAUUCAUCACUAAAAUUUAGGUGCAUCAUUUCUAUAUCAAUUUAAAUUUAGAAGGCUAAGAAAUGUGUAAUCUAAGUGGUUCUCUGGAUAUUGGUUUGUGGUUGAACCUUUAUUGGGGUAAAACUCAGCACAUGGUAGCUGUGGCCACCUGAACUUUUUCCAUUGUUUCAUCCUUGAAAAUUUGGGUUAUAGCUGUUUGAUUUAUAAGAAAACAUUGUGUUUGAAAAGGAUAAUUUUCAAACAAAAGAAGAAAGUAGCAAUUUUUCCAGUAAAAAAUUUCUGAUAGGAUCAAUAUAGCAGAGGUGGAAGUAGCUUGGUUCAGCUUUAGGCAUUCAGCUUAAUCUGAAGAGUUUUUAUUUUAGCAAAUCUAUCUACUCACCUGCUGGCUUAUCUAAAAGUCUACUGGGGUGUCUGUGCAUCUCUUGGCCUAUCUGUAUAACGGUAAUAAACAUAAUGGAACAGUUCUGGCAUCCUACUCAAUAACAGAGUGAGAAGAAAACUCCAAGAAAAGACAAAAUCCUGCUGAAAACCAGCCACUGAGAAAACUCCAUAUAUGACAGCCAACAUUACACUCCUGACUACAAAAUUCAGAGACCUAUGCAUUUUAACCUGUAAUCACAACCUUUGAUCACAAGGCGUCUCAUGUUCAACAUUCCUUUCAAGGCUCCUUGAUGCUGUAAGAAACACCUGCAAGCAAUCAGCUGGUGCUCUGGAGAAUGCUUUCAGUUCCAGGACAGAAAACGUAAAGAAACAUGAACAUUACAUGAAAAGCUUAUGUGGACAUUUUAUAUAUUUGUAGGUAUCUGCCUCUUCUCCCGAAGCCUUUAGAAGCUGUACUUCAUAGUGGAAAGGUAGUAGCCAAAGGCCCUGCAAACCGUCAUGUGUUUUUCUCUUCCACUUGCCAGUUGAUUGACUUAGAAAGGAGACACCACCACUCAGAGCCUUCCUCAGUUUGUGAGUCACUCUCUCCUCUCCCACCAGGCAGCUGGGAUCAGCAGACAUUAGGUAAUUAGCAACGUUGGCAGAAAACCUGCUGAAGCUGGACCACCAUGCUGUAGUUUCUCAGAGAAAUAAUUAUUCCUAACUCUGUAACAGGAUGAAAUGAAAAUUCUCUGGAGAAGAUGCUGGGAGCAACACUUGUCUUUUUGCAUUAGGAAGCACUCGAACAAAAUGUUGUGACAGCCAGGCCUAGUUCCUGAGAUUUAUUUUUUUCUGAGGACUAUCUGUCUGCACUGGUUUCUGGAGAGGCUCAUUUCAUCUCCAUCAGGGAGGACAGAAGAGUGCUCAAGUACUUCAGUCUGGCUUGAUGCAACCAAGACAUCAAACUCACGCUCAGGUUUCAGCCUCAGAGGUCGGAACUAAAAGCAGCUGAGAAUCCAGAUCUUCAUCUUCCGAAGAUAACUGAGCACAUUUCUCCUCCCCAGGAUGCUGGAUAAUCUGUUUGUGACCACGGAGCUGGCAAGUCUUAUCAGUCAGCCUUAUCAGCAUCUUUUAGGCUACCCUGAGCAUAUGCAGUAGCAAAGGGCCAUUCAGGAAGAGCUGCAGAGAUUUGUAUGUUGUGACUCCUAAACAGCCCCAGUCUCCCAGCCCAGUCAAGGUGGUCAUGCACAGAAUUUUAAACACCAGAGAUACUGAGGAGCAUAGGUGUGAAGAACACGCCGUAUUAUUCUCUUAAAAAUCAGUGUUUUAAAUGUGGCCUAAUGUAUUCCUAAGAUAUUUGUGUUCUUGUGUUGUUGCUUCAAAAUAUAGUGAAAAUAACAGGCAAAGAAAUAUAUAUGUGGGAUUGAUUAAACAUUCAAGAUGAAACUCUGUGCUCUUGAUCAGUUUUCCUGAUAGUUCUAUAUCUCUUGCAAUUCUUUAAUUUAUCCCUUCUGAUACGUGUCAGCAGAACUACGUGGAGAUUUUGUUCUGCUCUUUAUUACUCCAAGGUCAAAAUCUAUGAAGUAAGAUAAAUAAUUUAGUGAUUUUGCCCUUUAUACUGAGAGAUGUUAACAGGUACAAUGCAGCCAGGAACGUCUUCAAUUAUUUAAUUCACACAGUCAAAUGAAAGGAACACUGCUGAAACACUUGCCUAAAUUAUAUCUGUAUUUAUUUAAGAUGUUUUGCUAUCAAGCAGUGUUAAAAGCAGUACGAGUCUUAUUAAAACAACUACUUUUAUCUUGGCAAUCUUCCUUCUCUACUAACACCCUUUAAUGGUUUAUUGAAGGGCUUCCCCUGUCAGGUAAAAAAAAGUCCCAAAGUUACCUGCUUUACCGUCCAUAUUUUCAUCAUCCGUAUUAAAUAAUGCAAUCACCACAAGCAUUAUAAAUUGUAAGAAUCAAUGCUGAGCAGGGACGGCAGUCCAGCCCUAAAGCCAAGGCUGUAUUCCAACAGUUUCAGUAUAGAACUUCUGGCUGGGGCACAGAUGUUCAUUUUCAUGCUGUGAUCUCCAUUCUCCUACUCCCCUUCGCCCAGCCGCGGUUGGCACUGCAGACACGUCUUUAUUGUAACUUUGUACUUGUGUGGAUUGCUUUAACAAGUAUUGGCAAGUCGAGUAUAUGACGGUUGUAAAUUUAGCAGUAAAUAAAAGGCCUUAGGUAACCUUUUCCCCUUUUCUGGGGUUUAUUAUAUAUUGCUUUGAUUAUUUGAUUAAUAUCUAAACAGUAUCAUCUUUGUAACAUGCUGCCACAAAUAUUUGAGGGAGGAUCAUUUCAUCUAGCUGAAAUACCUGCAGACAUGCCCCAGGACAGUCAUCACUACAUGCUAGCCAUUUGUCUGCUCCAGGUGUGGCUUGGUGCUCUCCAUACAGAGCCUGCAGUGCUGGGCCACCUGCUUCUGGCUUGUGAGAACUCUGGGGGUGACAGAGGGCAGGUCUACCAACCUCCGUGCCUCCUGCUGAAAUGGCCACCUGGGAGAGAAGACUGCAAAAUUCCCAAAGACAGAGGAUCGAAGAAAGAAGAGCAUGACUCAAGAGCCGAAUGAAUAACACAGCUGUCUAAAGGAUGGGGAAUAUGGGGACUGCUCCCUGCUACGGAAAUCUUCAUGGCUCCGGAUGGGUUUUUGACCUGAACUGCAAAAGCAAUCCGAGAACGUGGACCCAAAACCUAGGCGUUCUGGUAAAGUCUUCUGAUCAUCAAGGUACAAAAUCCUGCUUUCUCACGUUUGCUGCCACUAGGCCUUUGUCUUGAAGAAACAGGAGCAACUUCUUUGUCUUCUAUAGGUUAGAAGAUGAAAGCUGUCCUAAUCUCUGCUUUCUUUGAUCACUUAUCAAACAAGAACCUGCCACCUACCAGGAUCUUUUAAUAGCAGUGCAAACAGCUCCUAAAGCUGUUGAGGAAUGCUGUUUGCUCCACACCUGUGGAAAUGGAAGGAAUUUGUCAGGAAAAAAACCAAGACAGAAAAUUUUCUACAUUUCAAAGCUGCUUGAAUUUUAUAAUGUUCUCUUUUUACUUUAAAAUAAUGCUUUCGAUAGUUCUGUGGAAUCUUUUGUUUUCCCUUAACAGAAGCAGCCUCCACUCAAUAUUAGUCAAUAUAUAUUAAAUAUAUAUAUAUCAACAAACCAACAAUGUCCAGCUCUGCAAUAUAUGUGUUAUCUCUUUCAAAAUGAAGAAAUAAAUGAUACCGUUUUUCACAUACACGAUCAUUUUCAAAGUUUUCUUUUCUUUUCCCACAAGACUGUACUGUCAUACUGAAAGCUGGUAUAUUCAAGUGCUGAAAUUGAACCUAUGGUAGCAUGGCCAGAAAAAAAAAAUAUAUAUGUGAGAAAUUAGUAAAUUUCCAUUGCCCUUCUGUAAUAUGGAUAAUCUAAGUAACAUUUUAACAUAAACUGCCCAAUCUGACAUUUAGAAACUGAAUGUUUGUAUGUGUGCAAAAGAGAAACUAAAGUACAUUCUUCCUAAUGUCUGGCUACUUUAUCAGAAGAGCACUUUAUAUCUUUUAAGGAGCUAGCAGGCUAUUACAUAUGACUAAUAUAUCAAAUUCCAAUGCAGCUUUUAUUCAAAGUUUAAUAGAGAUAAUUGUAACAUAAAAGCUACCCUCUAGAUCUUAUAAUUAAAAGGACGAGAGCCUUAGAGUCAUAAGGAAGGUAAAGUUAAUUACUUACUUGUGUGCAGAACAAGUCCAUAAUCUUAAGUGGCAGCCAAUUUAUAGGUUUGAAUUCCUGAAUGCUAAGGUAUUAGGAGAGUCAUUUCAACUUCUUAUGAUAAUUUCUUCAUAUAAUUAUGAUUAGACCAUUAGAUAUCAUUUAAUUUACUAUGCCACUUCCCAACACGGCCCUUUCUCUAUGGUUUUAUUUACCAGAGCAAAGAUUUCAGGCACUAAUAUUGUCUGAAAGCUUACAGUAAAUCUAAGCAACAGAGAUGUUUUACAGUCAGCGGUAGCAGAAAACAAAAAGUGUGAGUACUGAGAUACUUUUUAGUAAAUACAAAAUUUGGUGAAGAAUUUUUUCUUAUUCUGCAAUAUUAGCUUUACUCUGUGUAUACUCUAUGGAUAAAGUUAAGAUUGAAAUUAAAAAUAAAUACAUGUGGUUUUGACAGAAACUGAAUCACAAGCCAGAUAUGGAAAAACUAUCUAUCUGUGGUGGAUUUUUUGAGCAUGAUAAAAAAAUCUUGCUCAUGUCUUAGCAGUCAUAAUACAACCAGA
ensembl:lncRNA